GACGAACGCUGGCGGCGUGCUUAACACAUGCAAGUCGAACGGAAAGGCCCUGCUUUUGUGGGGUGCUCGAGUGGCGAACGGGUGAGUAACACGUGAGUAACCUGCCCUUGACUUCGGGAUAACUUCAGGAAACUGGGGCUAAUACCGGAUAGGAGCUCCUGCUGCAUGGUGGGGGUUGGAAAGUUUCGGCGGUUGGGGAUGGACUCGCGGCUUAUCAGUUUGUUGGUGGGGUAGUGGCUUACCAAGGCUUUGACGGGUAGCCGGCCUGAGAGGGUGACCGGCCACAUUGGGACUGAGAUGCGGCCCAGACUCCUACGGGAGGCAGCAGUGGGGAAUAUUGCACAAUGGGCGGAAGCCUGAUGCAGCAACGCCGCGUGCGGGAUGACGGCCUUCGGGUUGUAAACCGCUUUCGCCUGUGACGAAGCGUGAGUGACGGUAAUGGGUAAAGAAGCACCGGCUAACUACGUG
rnacentral:rRNA from 1 species